rnacentral:rRNA from 1 species
CCUACGGGAGGCAGCAGUGAGGAAUAUUGGUCAAUGGGCGGGAGCCUGAACCAGCCAAGCCGCGUGAGGGAAGAAGGUACAGCGUAUCGUAAACCUCUUUUGUCAGGGAACAAAGGCGGGGACUAGUCCCCGGAUGCGGGUACCUGAAGAAAAAGCAUCGGCUAACUCCGUGCCAGCAGCCGCGGUAAUACGGAGGAUGCGAGCGUUAUCCGGAUUUAUUGGGUUUAAAGGGUGCGCAGGCGGCCUGUUAAGUCAGCGGUAAAAGCCCGGGGAUCAACCCCGGCGAGCCGUGGAAACUGGCGGGCUGGAGUUGGAGAGAAGUAGGCGGAAUGCGCGGUGUAGCGGUGAAAUGCUUAGAUAUCGCGCAGAACCCCGAUUGCGAAGGCAGCUUACCGGCUCCACACUGACGCUGAGGCACGAAAGCGUGGGUAUCGAACAGGAUUAGAUACCCGAGUAGUC